CGCAUCCAAGGUGGACGUGUAGCCCCACCGUAGCGAGUGUGCACCAAUGUGACAGUGACGAAAUCAGUACUGCUUGAACGAAGUAAAACAUUUAUUUCCGCGUGGCUGGUACACUUUUGGUUGGCAUACACAUGAUAAAGAAAGCGGAUACAGAAACCAGCAUACCACCAGAGUAUAUUCUUCACAAGCAUUUAGGUCUACUUCGCGACCAAGCUCUUUGUGCCGAUGAAGUAGGGCGAUAUGGUUUAGUCUGGCCUGCCCCAUUGUAGAACUGCCGGUCUACAGCGAAUAAUGGCUAGCUUGCGGUGCACCUAUGUCCUAUGAGUCGUGUACCGCUCUGACAGACGUGCUCAUUGUGCAAAUCCUGACGAACGUACUUUCGUCACAUCAAAUCAGAAGUAAGAACUGUGACAACCCUCCCCAGUCUCCCCGAAGUUUUGACCCGCCGGAGGCAUGAGAAAGACCUUUCAGACGUGCCGGAGGUCACAGAAACUCUUUCACGUCCUGACGAGGUUGCGACACGCUGCUUUGCAAUGUCCAUUAGCAUGUCUCGGUGAAGUUGAAAGCGACCUGCAUGCAGGACUUCUAUAUAUAGAACUCGCACAAAUAAGUGCAUGUCAACCUAUCCCGUCAAGAACUUUUCGACUCUGGCCGAAUGCAAUCCGACCAGCGUUGCCCACAAGACUUCCAUCGGCGCAGGGAACUUUCCCUGGCGACGCUGCUGGGACCUGUCCGGCACACCAGACAGUGGGCAGUCACCCGAGCCCUCCUGUGCUACAUGAAGGACACUGGGCUGCUCAGCGGCCUUUGAGCCACCCCAUCGUCCCCCGCAACUUUUUCUUUUCCUUUUUUGCUUCGUUUUUCUCUUUUGGGAAGAGCAAGUCGGCCUCGGCCUGUCUGACCUUUCCUCCUUUCCUUUUUUCUUCUUCUCCAAUAAACAUAUCCCCCCCUGCCUUUUUCUCUUUCACCUGUGGGGGAGGACCUGAAAGA